rnacentral:rRNA from 1 species
AGUGAACGCUGGCGGCGUGCCUAAUACAUGCAAGUCGAACGGAAUUUAAAAGAGCUUGCUCUUUUAAAUUUAGUGGCGCACGGGUGAGUAAUAUAUAGCUAAUCUGCCCCUUGCUGGAGGACAACAGUUAGAAAUGACUGCUAAUACUCCAUACUCCUUUUUACCAUAAGAUAAAUCGGGAAAGAAUUUCGGCAAGGGAUGAGACUAUAUCGUAUCAGCUAGUCGGUGGGGUAACGGCCUACCGAGGCUAUGACGCGUAACUGGUCUGAGAGGAUGAUCAGUCACAUUGGAACUGAGACACGGUCCAAACUCCUACGGGAGGCAGCAGUAGGGAAUAUUGCGCAAUGGGGGAAACCUUGACGCAGCAACGCCGCGUGGAGGAUGACACUUUUCGGAGCGUAAACUCCUUUUGUUAGGGAAGA